rnacentral:rRNA from 1 species
UACGUAGGUGGCAAGCGUUGUCCGGAUUUACUGGGCGUAAAGAGCGCGCAGGCGGUCGAUCAAGUCGCGUGUGAAAGCCCCCGGCUCAACUGGGGAGGGUCACGCGAUACUGAUCGACUCGAAGGCAGGAGAGGGAAGUGGAAUUCCCGGUGUAGUGGUGAAAUGCGUAGAUAUCGGGAGGAACACCAAUGGCGAAGGCAGCUCGCUGGGACGUUACUGACGCUGAGACGCGAAAGCGUGGGGAGCGAACAGG